UUGGGCGUAAGCGCGCGCAGGCGGUUUCUUAAGUCUGAUGUGAAAGCCCACGGCUUAACCGUGGAGGGUCAUUGGAAACUGGGAGACUUGAGUGCAGAAGAGGAAAGUGGAAUUCCAAGUGUAGCGGUGAAAUGCGUAGAGAUUUGGAGGAACACCAGUGGCGAAGGCGACUUUCUGGUCUGCAACUGACGCUGAGGCGCGAAAGCAUGGGGAGCAAACAGGAUUAGAUACCCUGGUAGUCCAUGCCGUAAACGAUGAGUGCUAAGUGUUAGGGGGUUUCCGCCCCUUAGUGCUGCAGCUAACGCAUUAAGCACUCCGCCUGGGGAGUACGACCGCAAGGUUGAAACUCAAAGGAAUUGACGGGGGCCCGCACAAGCGGUGGAGCAUGUA
rnacentral:rRNA from 1 species